rnacentral:sRNA from 1 species
GAGGACCGAUUCCUCGAUCAGGACUUCCGUCGUCGGCGACGCGUCGAGACCGCUGCCGACGAUCUCGAAGA